rnacentral:rRNA from 1 species
GACGAACGCUGGCGGCGUGCCUAAUACAUGCAAGUAGAACGCACAGUUUAUACCGUAGCUUGCUACACCAUAGACUGUGAGUUGCGAACGGGUGAGUAACGCGUAGGUAACCUGCCUGGUAGCGGGGGAUAACUAUUGGAAACGAUAGCUAAUACCGCAUAAUAUUAAUUAUUGCAUGAUAAUUAAUUGAAAGGUGCAAUUGCACCACUACCAGAUGGACCUGCGUUGUAUUAGCUAGUAGGUGAGGUAACGGCUCACCUAGGCGACGAUACAUAGCCGACCUGAGAGGGUGAUCGGCCAAACUGGGACUGAGGCACGGCCCAGACUCCUAAGGGAGGCAGCAGUAGGGAAUCUUCGGCAAUGGACGAAAGUCUGACCGAGCAACGCCGCGUGAGUGAAGAAGGUUUUCGGAUCGUAAAGCUCUGUUGUAAGAGAAGAACGGGUGUGAGAGUGGAAAGUUCACACUGUGACGGUAUCUUACCAGAAAGGGACGGCUAACUACGUG